GGAGCCGUAGCGAAAGCGAGUUUUAACUGAGCGUUCAGUUACUUGACGUAGACCCGAAACCGGGCGACCUACCCAUGAGCAGGAUGAAGCGAAAGUAAAAUUUCGUGGAGGUCCGAACCCACGAGCGUUGAAAAGCUCGGGGAUGACUUGUGGGUAGCGGUGAAAUUCCAAUCGAGCCCGGAGAUAGCUGGUUCUCCCCGAAAUAGCUUUAGGGCUAGCCUCAAGGUGAGAGAUACGGAGGUAGAGCACUGAAUGUCCUAGGGGGUAUUGCACCUACCGAAGACUAUCAAACUCCGAAUGACGUCAUCUUAUACUUGGGAGUCAGACUGUGGGUGAUAAGAUUCAUACUCGAAAGGGCAACACACAAGAACGUCAGCUAAGGUCCCUAAAUGUAAGUUAAGUGGUAAAGGAUGUGUGAUUGCACAGACAACCAGGAUGUUGGCUUAGAAGCAGCCACUCAUUCAAAGAGUGCGUAAUAGCUCACUGGUCGAGUGAUCCUGCGCCGAAGAUUUCCGGGGCUAAAACUUACUACCGAAGCUACGG
rnacentral:rRNA from 1 species